rnacentral:rRNA from 1 species
AGCAGCCGCGGUAAUUCCAGCUCCAAUAGCGUAUAUUAAGGUUGCUGCAGUUAAAAGCUCGUAGUUGAAUUUCGGGAUCAUCAUGUCGGUCGUGCCUCGGUACGUACUGGCAUUGUUGGUUUCUACCUUCUGACGAACCAUGAUGUCAUUUAUUUGGUGUCGUGGGAAAUCAGGACUGUUACUUUGAAAAAUUGAGUGUUUAAAGCAGGCUCACGCUUGAAUACAUUAGCAUGGAAUAAUGAAAUAGGACGUUUGAUUCUAUUUUGUGGUUUCCAGGAUCGACGUAAUGAUUAAUAGGGAUAGUUGGGGGCAUUAGUAUUCAAUUGUCAGAGGUGAAAUUCUUGGAUUUAUUGAA